rnacentral:rRNA from 2 species
UCGAGAAUCAUUCGCAAUGGGCGAAAGCCUGACGAUGCGACGCCGUGUGAGCGAUGAAGGCCUUAGGGUCGUAAAGCUCUUUCGCUUGGGAACAAGAGAAGUUGGCUAAUAUCCAGCAAAUUUGAGGGUACCAGGUAAAGAAGCACCGGCUAACUCCGUGCCAGCAGCUGCGGUAAUACGGAGGGUGCAAGCAUUAAUCGGAUUUAUUGGGCGUAAAGGGCGCGUAGGCGGGGAGAUAAGUCAGAUGUGAAAUCCCGGGGCUCAACCUCGGAACAGCAUUUGAAACUGUCUUUCUAGAGGAUAGAUGGAGAAAACGGAAUUCCACAAGUAGCGGUGAAAUGCGUAGAUAUGUGGAAGAACACCGGUGGCGAAGGCGGUUUUCUAAUUUAGACCUGACGCUGAGGCGCGAAAGCAAGGGGAUCAAACA